CAUGGCGUGCCCAGCCUACACCUCACCGGGCCUUCACGAUUUAUGUAGCACUCCGGAUUCAUACUCUCAACCCCGUAAAAAAAAAGGAUUUGCUCUCUCUUAUAUGACCCGGGGUGGUCAGGGGAGCACGGUGGAAACACAAAAAAGCCCAGUGUCGGAGCCUCACUCCCCAGAUAUGAUUUCUCCUUCAACACCGGGCCAUACCUUGGGAUACUUUAGGACACCAGGCCGGCGUCCGAGCGACCGGAGAGGUUGGGUGGUGGCAGAUCAGCGUGUGGAAGCCAUUCAGAGGUCAGAGACCAUACGCCAAACUCCACCAGAGCCACAUGGCCCAGGUUUUGGUAUGCAGAUACGCAGCCCAGGGUUGUCAAUAGGACCACUGUCCAUCAUCGUCAGUUGACGGACAGACUUGAACCAAAAGAAAUCGCUCAAUUUCCCAGGAUGCGGUCUCCAUGGCUGAAGAGAAACAACACACAACCUGACGGGCAAGAGACAAUCAUACUCAGGAACGGCCCCUUCCCCAUCACCGCUGGCCGUGUCAAGCUUGGAAAUGGAUCCCGGCCGCCUCUGAAGCAUUUAGCACCACAAUUAUCCCCCCAUUCACAGGGCUGCCUGCGCUAAUGUAAACCACACCAGGCACUAGCCGUCAUUCAACCGCAGUAAAAAAAGGCAAUGCAGAAACCCAUCCUCUGUGACAGCAAUUUGACGCAAUUCCGUCCCUGUGUCACCGUUGCUACAAAUAGGGGUCAACUCAUUUAUUAAGCAAUUUCUA